CCUACGGGAGGCAGCAGUGGGGCAUAUUGGGCAAUGGGCGCAAGCCUGACCCAGCAACGCCGCGUGAAGGAAGAAGGUUUUCGGGUUGUAAACUUCUUUUCUGAGGGACGAACACAGUGACGGUACCUGAAUAAUAAGCCACGGCUAACUACGUGCCAGCAGCCGCGGUAAUACGUAGGUGGCAAGCGUUAUCCGGAAUGAUUGGGCGUAAAGGGCGUGUAGGCGGGACAGCAAGUCAGAGGUGAAAAUCCAGGGCUCAACCCUGGGACUUCCUUGGAACCUGUUUGGCUUGAGUGCUGGAGAGGUAAGUGGAAUGCCGGGGGUAGCGGUGGAAUGCGGAGAUAGACGGAGGAACACCAGGGGCGAAGGCGGCUUGCUGGACAGUAACUGACGCUGAGGAGCGAAAGCGUGGGGAGCAAACAGGAUUAGAUACCCCAGUAGUC
rnacentral:rRNA from 1 species